AUUGAACGCUGGCGGCAGGCCUAACACAUGCACGUCGAACGAGUGGCGGACGGGUGAGUAAUGUCUGGGAAACUGCCCGAUGGAGGGGGAUAACUACUGGAAACGGUAGCUAAUACCGCAUACCAUCGGAUGUGCCCAGAUGGGUUUAGCUAGUAGGUGGGGUAACGGCUCACCUGGUCGACGAUCCCUAGCUGGUCUGAGAGGAUGACCAUCCACACUGGAAAUGAGACAAGGUCCAGACUCCUAAGGGAGGCAGGAGUGGGGAAUAUGGCACAAUGGGCGCAAGACUGAUGCAGCCAUGCCGCGUGUAUGAAGAAGGCCUUCGGGUUGUAAAGUACUUUCAGCGAGGAGGCGUUACUCGCAGAAGAAGCACCGGCUAACUCCGUGCCAGCAGCCGCGGUAAUUC
rnacentral:rRNA from 1 species